CACGUAGGGCGCAAGCGUUGUCCGGAAUUAUUGGGCGUAAAGAGCUCGUAGGCGGUCUGUUGCGUCCGCUGUGAAAACUCGGGGCUUAACCCCGAGCCUGCAGUGGAUACGGGCAGACUAGAGGUAGGUAGGGGAGAAUGGAAUUCCCGGUGUAGCGGUGAAAUGCGCAGAUAUCGGGAGGAACACCAGUAGCGAAGGCGACACUCUGGGCCGGUACUGACGCUGAGGAGCGAAAGCCAGGGGAGCAAACGGG
rnacentral:rRNA from 1 species